GGAGAGGUGCCGGAGUGGUCGAACGGGGCGGAUUCGAAAUCCGUUGUGCCUGCAAGGGUACCCAGGGUUCGAAUCCCUGUCUCUCCGCCA
rnacentral:tRNA from 1 species